rnacentral:rRNA from 1 species
CCUUGUACACACCGCCCGUCACACCAUGGGAGCGGGUUCUGCCAGAAGUGGGUAGCCUAACCGCAAGGAGGGCGCUUACCACGACAGGGUUCGUGACUGGGGUG